rnacentral:rRNA from 1 species
GAAUGCUGACAUAAGUAACGAUAAAGCGGGUGAAAAGCCCGCUCGCCGGAAGACCAAGGGUUCCUGUCCAACGUUAAUCGGGGCAGGGUGAGUCGACCCCUAAGGCGAGGCCGAAAGGCGUAGUCGAUGGGAAACAGGUUAAUAUUCCUGUACUUGGUGUUACUGCGAAGGGGGGACGGAGAAGGCUAUGUUGGCCGGGCGACGGUUGUCCCGGUUUAAGCGUGUAGGCUGGUUUUCCAGGCAAAUCCGGAAAAUCAAGGCUGAGGCGUGAUGACGAGGCACUACGGUGCUGAAGCGACAAAUGCCCUGCUUCCAGGAAAAGCCUCUAAGCAUCAGGUAACAUCAAAUCGUACCCCAAACCGACACAGGUGGUCAGGUAGAGAAUACCAAGGCGCUUGAGAGAACUCGGGUGAAGGAACUAGGCAAAAUGGUGCCGUAACUUCGGGAGAAGGCACGCUGAUAUGUAGGUGAAGCGACUUGCUCGUGGAGCUGAAAUCGGUCGAAGAUACCAGCUGGCUGCAACUGUUUAUUAAAAACACAGCACUGUGCAAACACGAAAGUGGACGUAUACGGUGUGACGCCUGCCCGGUGCCGGAAGGUUAAUUGAUGGGGUUAGCGGUAACGCGAAGCUCUUGAUCGAAGCCCCGGUAAACGGCGGCCGUAACUAUAACGGUCCUAAGGUAGCGAAAUUCCUUGUCGGGUAAGUUCCGACCUGCACGAAUGGCGUAAUGAUGGCCAGGCUGUCUCCACCCGAGACUCAGUGAAAUUGAACUCGCUGUGAAGAUGCAGUGUACCCGCGGCAAGACGGAAAGACCCCGUGAACCUUUACUAUAGCUUGACACUGAACAUUGAGCCUUGAUGUGUAGGAUAGGUGGGAGGCUUUGAAGUGUGGACGCCAGUCUGCAUGGAGCCGACCUUGAAAUACCACCCUUUAAUGUUUGAUGUUCUAACGUGGGCCCCUUACCGGGGUUGCGGACAGUGUCUGGUGGGUAGUUUGACUGGGGCGGUCUCCUCCUAAAGAGUAACGGAGGAGCACGAAGGUUGGCUAAUCCUGGUCGGACAUCAGGAGGUUAGUGCAAUGGCAUAAGCCAGCUUGACUGCGAGCGUGACGGCGCGAGCAGGUGCGAAAGCAGGUCAUAGUGAUCCGGUGGUUCUGAAUGGAAGGGCCAUCGCUCAACGGAUAAAAGGUACUCCGGGGAUAACAGGCUGAUACCGCCCAAGAGUUCAUAUCGACGGCGGUGUUUGGCACCUCGAUGUCGGCUCAUCACAUCCUGGGGCUGAAGUAGGUCCCAAGGGUAUGGCUGUUCGCCAUUUAAAGUGGUACGCGAGCUGGGUUUAGAACGUCGUGAGACAGUUCGGUCCCUAUCUGCCGUGGGCGCUGGAGAACUGAGGGGGGCUGCUCCUAGUACGAGAGGACCGGAGUGGACGCAUCACUGGUGUUCGGGUUGUCAUGCCAAUGGCACUGCCCGGUAGCUAAAUGCGGAAGAGAUAAGUGCUGAAAGCAUCUAAGCACGAAACUUGCCCCGAGAUGAGUUCUCCCUGACUCCUUGAGAGUCCUGAAGGAACGUUGAAGACGACGACGUUGAUAGGCCGGGUGUGUAAGCGCAGCGAUGCGUUGAGCUAACCGGUACUAAUGAACCGUGAGGCUUAACCUUACAACGCCGAAG